UCGAGUAUUGCCGCAGUGGCUGUCGCGGA
rnacentral:piRNA from 1 species